rnacentral:rRNA from 1 species
UACGUGGGGUGCAAGCGUUAAUCGGAAUUACUGGGCGUAAAGCGUGCGCAGGCGGUUAUGCAAGACAGAUGUGAAAUCCCCGGGCUUAACCUGGGAACUGCAUUUGUGACUGCAUAGCUAGAGUACGGUAGAGGGGGAUGGAAUUCCGCGUGUAGCAGUGAAAUGCGUAGAUAUGCGGAGGAACACCGAUGGCGAAGGCAAUCCCCUGGACCUGUACUGACGCUCAUGCACGAAAGCGUGGGUAGCAAACAGG